rnacentral:rRNA from 1 species
AGUAAUGUAUGGGGAUCUGCCCGAUAGAGGGGGAUAACUACUGGAAACGGUGGCUAAUACCGCAUAAUGUCUACGGACCAAAGCAGGGGCUCUUCGGACCUUGCACUAUCGGAUGAACCCAUAUGGGAUUAGCUAGUAGGUGGGGUAAAGGCUCACCUAGGCGACGACCUCUAGCUGGUCUGAGAGGAUGAUCAGCCACACUGGGACUGAGACACGGCCCAG